rnacentral:rRNA from 1 species
GACGAACGCUGGCGGCGCGCUUAACACAUGCAAGUCGAGCGAGAACCGGGGCUUCGGCCCCGGGGACAGCGGCGAACGGGUGAGUAACACGUGGGUAACCUGCCCUCGGCACCGGGAUAGCCCGGGGAAACCCGGAUUAAUACCGGACAGCCUCCGGCGCCUUCGGGCGCCGGAGAAAAGGUGGCUUCGGCUUCCGGCCGAGGAGGGGCCGGCGGCGGAUUAGCUUGUUGGCGGGGUAACGGCCCACCAAGGCGACGAUCCGUAGCUGGUCUGAGAGGGCGAUCAGCCACACUGGGACUGAGACACGGCCCAGACUCCUACGGGAGGCAGCAGUGGGGAAUCUUGCACAAUGGGCGCAAGCCUGAUGCAGCGACGCCGUGUGCGGGAAGAAGGCCUUCGGGUUGUAAACCGCUUUCAGGAGGGACGGAGCUCCUCGGGUUAAUAGCCCAGAGGGUGACGGUACCUCCAGAAGAAGCCCCGGCUAACUACGUGCCAGCCGCCGCCGUAAUAC